rnacentral:tRNA from 1 species
GCCUGGGUGGCUCAGUCGGUUAAGCGUCUGACUUCGGCUCAGGUCAUGAUCUCACGGUUUGUGGGUUCGAGCCCCACAUCGGGCU